AGCACUGUGUGGUAUCUGCAGCCAGCUGCUGCUCCAGCUGGUUUGCUCAAAAGUCAGUGCAAUAGGAUGUCAGCCCUUGGCAUCGUUGGUCUCUGUGCUGUCUGUGCAUGGGGUCCUGGAAGAAUGGCU
ensembl:snoRNA small nucleolar RNA SNORA8